rnacentral:rRNA from 1 species
UGGGGGAUAUUGCACAAUGGGGGAAACCCUGAUGCAGCGACGCCGCGUGGAGGAAGAAGGUUUUCGGAUUGUAAACUCCUGUCGUUAGGGACGAUAAUGACGGUACCUAACAAGAAAGCUCCGGCUAACUACGUGCCAGCAGCCGCGGUAAUACGUAGGGAGCGAGCGUUGUCCGGAAUUACUGGGUGUAAAGGGAGCGUAGGCGGGAUCGCAAGUCAGAUGUGAAAACUAUGGGCUUAACCCAUAAACUGCAUUUGAAACUGUGGUUCUUGAGUGAAGUAGAGGUAAGCGGAAUUCCUAGUGUAGCGGUGAAAUGCGUAGAUAUUAGGAGGAACAUCAGUGGCGAAGGCGGCUUACUGGGCUUUAACUGACGCUGAGGCUCGAAAGCGUGGGGAGCAAACAGGAUUAGAUACCCUGGUAGUCCACGCCGUAAACGAUGAUUACUAGGUGUGGGGGGACUGACCCCUUCCGUGCCGCAGCAAACGCAAUAAGUAAUCCACCUGGGGAGUACGACCGCAAGGUUGAAACUCAAAGGAAUUGACGGGGGCCCGCACAAGCAGUGGAGUAUGUGGAUUAAUUCGAAGCAACGCGAAGAACCUUACCAGGUCUUGACAUCGUAUGCAUAGCUCAGAGAUGAGUGAAAUCUCUUCGGAGACAUAUAGACAGGUGGUGCAUGGUUGUCGUCAGCUCGUGUCGUGAGAUGUUGGGUUAAGUCCCGCAACGAGCGCAACCCUUACUGUUAGUUGCUACGCAAGAGCACUCUAGCAGGACUGCCGUUGACAAAACGGAGGAAGGUGGGGAUGACGUCAAAUCAUCAUGCCCCUUAUGACCUGGGCCUCACACGUACUACAAUGGCUGUUAACAGAGGGAUGCAAAGCCGCAAGGUGGAGCGAACCCCUAAAAGCAGUCUUAGUUCGGAUUGUAGGCUGCAACCCGCCUACAUGAAGUCGGAAUUGCUAGUAAUCGCAGAUCAGCAUGCUGCGGUGAAUACGUUCCC